AGGCCCCCCACAAGAGCAGGGAAUUGAUGCUCUGUGCUGACUUCCAGAAAGGGGAGUUAGGAAUUAUUAGAGUAUAUUGCCAGUAUAUGACUAAGGGAAUUAAAGAGAUGGUACCUCAGUCUCUAAAAAUGUACAGAGGACUCUGUUUUUGGAACAAAAAGAAAGGUGAAACUGCAUCUGAGGGGCUGGGGAGACUGAAGGAACAGAUGGGCAGAGAUAUGGAUAGAAAUAUGGAUUCACAAAAUCCAGCACAUCAGAUACUGCUGAAGUAUCAGUCUUAAGGGAGGUAGGAUAGGACUGAACAGAAAUUGGAUA